AUUGAACGCUGGCGGCAUGCCUUACACAUGCAAGUCGAACGGCAGCAUGAUCUAGCUUGCUAGAUUGAUGGCGAGUGGCGCACGGGUGAGUAAUACAUCGGAACGUGCCCUGUAGUGGGGGAUAACUAGUCGAAAGAUUAGCUAAUACCGCAUACGACCUGAGGGUGAAAGUGGGGGACCGCAAGGCCUCAUGCUAUAGGAGCGGCCGAUGUCUGAUUAGCUAGUUGGUGAGGUAAAGGCUCACCAAGGCGACGAUCAGUAGCUGGUCUGAGAGGACGAUCAGCCACACUGGGACUGAGACACGGCCCAGACUCCUACGGGAGGCAGCAGUGGGGAAUUUUGGACAAUGGGCGAAAGCCUGAUCCAGCAAUGCCGCGUGUGUGAAGAAGGCCUUCGGGUUGUAAAGCACUUUUGUCCGGAAAGAAAUGGCUCUGGUUAAUACCUGGGGCCGAUGACGGUACCGGAAGAAUAAGGACCGGCUAACUACGUG
rnacentral:rRNA from 1 species